UUAACGAUUUUAAUUAGUACUCAGACAACACAGUUAUACAAGAGUUUUUGAAGAAGGCUACUGGCGGGCACUGAUCAGGGGUCAGAUAACCCCCGACGGCCCCUAUAAGGCGGGCCCGCCAAAGCAACAGGGUAGAAUAAACACAGGGUUGGAGGUCGGGCCUGAGAGACCCUAACUCGGUAAUGAUCCUUCCGCAGGUUCACCUACGGAAA
rnacentral:misc_RNA from 1 species